AGUCCAAAUAGAUCUUUCAUUUGGGCUGUGCUCACAUUUCGAACGCCUCAAUUUAAGCCCAUUUUACCAUCUAUGGAGCGUGAAGUUUUGUUUUUCCCCGAAUAUUCCUCUUCGUCCUCACUGAUCAAAUUCUCCGCACUUCGCCGUUACCGUAAUCCACUCUUCAUCAGUAUAUGCUCUUUAAUCCUGCUUUAAUGGUUUCGUUUCACCUUCCCCUCUUUCUCCCUCUAUACAAAGAGCUUCAUCUCGACUUUAUUCCAACCCAGAUUGAAACUCUGCAGAAACAGCUACAUCUACAGCCAUGAAAUUCACUGUAGAGUCUCCCCUCUCCACCGGCAAGUCCCAUCGCCGUUUCUCUUUCCAAUUGAAAAUGACGGGCUCCGAGAAUGAGGAGGAGGAGGAGGAGAUGAAUAAUCUAUUCCUCAGUGAUGACAGUCCGAGAAGCAAUGUUAACGGCGACAAAAAAAAUAACUUUUCGAUCCAACCUCUUUCGGUAUGUUGUUUACUGUUUCAUUUGAUCAAAAUUUAGUUAAGUUUCAAGUUUUGUGUUAGAUUGUGGAGACAGAAUAUGAUUUCGGGUUUGAACCUAUCCUCCAAAUAAGUUGAAAUCCACCUACUACCACCCUUAAGCUACACAAAGUUUUCUGAUUUUAGCAAAGGCCAUUUUGAUUAUGCCGUCAGAGUUUCCAAGUUGUCGACCUUUUUCGUAGAUCGUUGAUUUGGAUGGAUAUGGACCUUCAUCUAGACGUUUCCAACCAAACACUCGAGUAAAGUUGAGUGACGAAGACCAUACCUACUUAGAGAAACAUUUCUCAAGCUUUACCAUUCCAUUUCAUCCUUAGUAAUUUGCAUUACCUAUUUUUUUAGCUAUCUUCCUCACCACCAUUGUGUGUCUUCUCAAUAGUUAAGCUUCAGGGAGAGUUGUGCAUAAGCAUCUUGAAGAAUUCCUGAGAAAGUGAGGUAACUUGCUUAAACGCGUUCUUUUCAAAAAAAAAAUCAAUCAGUUUGUGAGUAGGUUUAUAUUUUGAGAAGAGAUAUGAUCAUGAAAUGUUCUCAUGAUUUAUACAAGUUGCAAUUUUUGUGUUUGAAUUUCUGCCUUUUCCUUUUCAUUUGCUGAUACCACUUAUCUUUGUUCUCUUUACUUUUGUAUUAACUAAGUUAUGAUUCUUCUGCAUUUGGCCUGAGGUUUUCUUCAUCCAAGUCCUAACAGUCUUUUCCUUUUUUUCUUCUUUAAUCUGUAAAGGGAGGAACAAUGGGCUAGCUUCUGCUAUCGUGAGACUAUGGGAGAAAUGUAAUAUUGCAAUCAAAUUAGUGCUGUUUAUCGUCUUUAUAUUUUGUUACGCACAGAAAUACAUAAUGACAAGGUCUCAACCAGAGACUUCAGAGGCUACCGGUAUAUACUUUCACAUAAUACUUUUUUGUUAUUUCUGAACUAUAAACAAUGCAUGUCUCUAGAGCCUUACUUACUCUUUAGAUAAAAGGUAAAGUCUUGAAGGCAAACAGGUUACAAAGGGACCAAUUUCUUUUUUUUUUCUUUCACAGGAGAACCUCAAGUGACGAAGAUGACAUCUAUCAAAGAUAUCAACUCUCUUGACAUUAACACUUAGGACAUUUCUGUGUUCUGAGUUCUGACUUGAUAACAAACCAGGAAUCAUUCUUUCGUAUUUGUUCAGAAUCUGAUUGUUAUAGUAUUUACUUACCUAUAUGUUUAAUUUUGUCACUCUUUCUUUACCAGGAGCUUUGAGAUCACAUAAGCUCCAACGUUUAAAGUGGAAGCUUAGAAAUGUUUCCAUGAGCAGAUCGAGCUCCAAUGGUCCUUGCAAUUACAGAUCGAAAACACGGUGGUACCUACAGAUGAUGUUUGAGAAACAACAAAUAAAACAAGAGACCACGAGCUCUUCCUCAAUGCCAUCCACCAAAGCAAUGCAAUGGCACAUUGGCUGCAUCCGAGUUUGGUUUCAAGACACAAACUGUGAACCAAACUGAAUCUGCUUUGGUAUGAAUGAAACUAAGUCCACUCAAAUUUCUGUUUUUUUUUUUUUUUUCCAAUUUGAGUAUAGUUAAGGAAAUACGUUGUCCUGGAAAAAUGAAGAUAUUAUGGGUAUACAUUGGUACAAAAGUCCAUAUAAGAGAAUACAACAAAGAACCUAUUAAUUUUAUCUGUGUAUACUUAGAAGUGAUAUAGAGCUCAACACUUAAGAAUGUCUGGAAGCUUCAAUUAGUCAAACUUUUGUCUAAACAGAGAAGAGAUGACUACGAGAACAAUUCAAAAACAACAAGUCACCACGCAUAACCAGGGAAGAUUAGUAGAUUAACAUUUAAGGUUGAUAUCUUUUGGCUAAACAUGUUUAGUAGGAAUUAGUUUAGGUGGUUUUUCAAAUACAGAGUAAAUAAAAUUUGAAUAAUCGUUGCAAUAAUUCCAAUGUUGUUAUAAGAAAAUUGUCUUUUCCUUGCUUCGUAAGUCCUCAACAAUCUGAAGUAGUGAAGAUGAUUACCAACACAUGAAUAAUAUUAGCAUCAUAUGAUAUAUUAAGUAAUUUUCUCCGAGCAUGUAAAUAUUUAUAAAGGAAGCACACUACAAUAUUUUUUUUAAUAUUUGACUUAGAUAUAAAUUAUUUUGUAAUUUAUAUGUAUUAUUUACUUGAAAUAAUAUUAUGUUAGCUCUUUUACCGAACAUGUCUACGGUUCAAAUCUUUUAAUUAAAUACGUGCUUUCUAUAUAAAGAUCCGGUCAGUUUGGUUAUUAUUGUAGUUAUUGGAUUGCAUAUACUUUUCUGAACUCAACCAUAAGAUUAUUCAUUUUUAAAAAAAUUGAUUAGUUUUGUUAAUGCACUUAGUUGAGUUUGUUGUCUUAGAUUCAUAAAUUUGAUUUAGUAAAAUUAUGUAUGAUUUGAUAUAUGUUUUAUUGUGAAUCAAAUAAAAAAAAGUUAAAAGUAUUGAUCGAUUUAAUGUUUAGAAGCUCAUACAUAUAUAUAAUUUUGUUUACAGAAUUAAAUCAUAACUGUUACUUAAAGUUCCAGUUUCAUUUAUUAAUAUAUCUUCAGUCAUUCCAUAAUUUAUAUGUAUAAAAUAGAUAAAAUUAUUAUUAAUAACAAAAUUUUAUUAUGUUAGUUAAAUUUUUAAUUUUGGUAUAAUGUAGUUUGGUUCUGUUAUUCAUUUUCAGAUAUAUUAGUUCUCUAAACUGAUUUAAAAUUUAUGAUGCUGAUUAGACCAAGCAGAUUAGUUUUAGUCAUUGCAUUUAGUUAAGUUCUUUAUCUAAAAUAUGGAACUUUAUUUUCAUAGAUUUUUAUGAAAAUUUUAAUUUUACAGAUAUUUUUUAUUAAUAUAUUUUGAUAAAACAAUUUAACAAAAAUUUAAAUCUAAUUAUUAAAAAUAAUAAUCUGCAAAAUAAAUAAGUAUGUCCAAAAUUACUUAUAUAAUUAUAUCUAAACCAAAUAAUUAUUUACAAAAUAAAUAUUUUAACAGACGCACAUCAGUAGAAGAUAUGAUUUAUUAUAUUAUAAUUAUAUUUUAGAAAACAAAGUUUUAAAUUCAUUAUGCUUUAGAUAGUUUUAGAACUAAUUAAAAAUAAACUAAAUAAUUAAUCAGAAAAUAUUAUGUAAAUUAUUUGGUUAUAUUUUACACAAUUGCAAAGUACACAUUUUCGCAAUCAUAAAGUUGUUUUCACCACAAGCAUUAAACCAAAAGUUAUCAAAAGCCAAGCUCAUAUGUUUUCAACCUUAAAUAAUAUCCUCUAACUAUGUUGUUAAAAGUUGAUGACAAAAAAAAAAUGUUAGUUAAAAGUUUAGGAAAUUAGUUAUCAAAAGUCAAGCAUUUAAGGAACCUGAUUUUAUUUUAAAAAAA